UACGUAGGGUGCGAGCGUUAAUCGGAAUUACUGGGCGUAAAGCGUGCGCAGGCGGCGCGUUAAGACAGGUGUGAAAGCCCCGAGCUUAACUUGGGAAUUGCGCUUGUGACUGGCGUGCUGGAGUGUGGCAGAGGGAGGUGGAAUUCCUGGUGUAGCGGUGAAAUGCGUAGAUAUCAGGAGGAAUACCGGUGGCGAAAGCGACUCUCUGGACGGUAACUGACGCUGAGGCACGAAAGCGUGGGGAGCAAACAGG
rnacentral:rRNA from 1 species